CUAGAGCCAAGGGAGUUUGCCCUCUGGGUUGUUGAAAGACAAUCUCAUGUCCCAUUGGUACUUGAUCUUUUCCUUCUUGAAACAGACAAAAAAGACCCGUAGGCAUCAGUGCGUCUGGAGAGCCCCCAGGAAGUCUAUGGGGAGGUGCUGCGGUAAAGGGACCCCCUUCCCACUAGGGCAUACGCCUUCCCACCCAGUCCCCAGCCAAGUCAGAUAAAAAGGUCUAGCCCCGGAAUGAUGGAGGAGGAGCCAGGAAAAGGAGUGUUGGGGAGUCCCCCUUCUAGGUAAAGGCCAGGAAACAGAAAAGGAAGAGAUACUGUUUUGAGAAAAGCGCAAGACUCAGUUUCAACCGCAUUUCAUCAGAAGCCUCGUUGGAGAUAGGGGUGGCCUAGUUGCUGAGUCCUGCUGUGCUCAGGUGAGACCUAUUGGAGCUCCGCCCUCGCCUGCCUUGUCUCACCUGACGUGUGAGUGCGUGCCUCUGUGCAUGAGCGGAGAGGCAAAGGGAGCUAACUGUAAUACAAGGACUCCAAGAUGAAGGGAGCGAGGGUAGGAAACGAACUCCUGGAUCGGCUGAGCAGCUGGAACCUCUCACAGGUGGCAGGGGACCGGGCAGGCAUUGCCCCAGGGCCUCAGGGAAGCCGGCCCCGGAGCCUGGCAGCUCCACCCUGGCAAUCUCACGCCUCCUCUCAGUGCCCCACUGGGCGUCAGCUCGGCUUCAGGUGCUGACCUACGUGUUGGAAACGCGAAGAGGAGCGGGACACGGUCCUCCACCCUGAAGAACUCAUGAUUUGGAGGACACAGAUGUGACUAGGGACAAGUGAGAUAAGCGGGCGAAGUCCUCAGUAUUCAGGGGCACUGGAUCCUGUGCCAACCCGGCAGGUGAGAAAAGACACCUGUGGGGGGUCACCUGUGGGCAGCGUCUCAGAGACGGGACGGCUUUGCCGAAGAAGCGGGGCGGGGAUCGCGCUCCUGGCAGGUGGGCUGUGCGAGCCCUGGCGCGAGGUGUAGAGGGCUCGGCCUGGUUGGAGCCAAGGCCAGGACCGUGUUUUGGUUUGGGAGGAGUGUGGGGAAGUCUGGGGGUGACACAUGAAAUGGAGAAAUGAGCAGGGUGGUUCAGAAUGCCUGGAAAGAUCACCCAGAGGCCAGGGACACCACUGUAGGUUCCCAAAGGGCAGCGGAGCCAUCGGGUUUGGGUUUUCCAAAGAUCUCUUCUUGCACGCACUUCUGCUUUUUUCGGGAUGACGCUGCCUGGGAAAUCUGGUACGAAGAGAGAGGCGGUAAAUGUUUCCAGGAAAUAAAAAGUCCUCUGCUGCGCA